UGCCAGCCGCCGCGGUAAUACGGAGGGGGUUAGCGUUGUUCGGAAUUACUGGGCGUAAAGCGCACGUAGGCGGCUAUUUAAGUCAGAUGUGAAAGUCCACGGCUCAACCUCGGAACUGCCUUUGAUACUGUAAGUCUUGAGUCCGAGAGAGGUGAGUGGAAUUCCUAGUGUAGAGGUGAAAUUCGUAGAUAUUAGGAAGAACACCAGUGGCGUAGGCGGCUCACUGGCUCGGUACUGACGCUGAGGUGCGAAAGCGUGGGGAGCAAACAGGAUUAGAUA
rnacentral:rRNA from 1 species